CCCUUAGAUGUUCUGGGCCGCACGCGCGCUACACUGAUGCAUUCAACGAGUCUAAAACCUGGUCUGAUAGGGCUGGGUAAUCUUUUGAAUGUGCAUCGUGAUUGGGAUAGAUGAUUGCAAUUCUUCAUCUUCAACGAGGAAUGCCUAGUAAGCGCAAGUCAUCAGCUUGCAUUGAUUACGUCCCUGCCCUUUGUACACACCGCCCGUCGCUCCUACCGAUUGAAUGUUCCGAUGAAUACCAUGGACUGAGAGUAUGAAUGGGUUCGCCUAUUUCUGCUUCUCGGGAAGUGGAGUAAAUCUUAACAUUUAGAGGAAGGAGAAGUCGUAACA
rnacentral:rRNA from 1 species